UACGGAGGAUGCAAGCGUUAUCCGGAUUUAUUGGGUUUAAAGGGUGCGCAGGUUGUUUGAUAAGUCAGUGGUGAAAGUCUGUCGCUUAACGGUAGGAUUGCCAUUGAUACUGUUAGACUUGAAUAUGGUUGAGGUAGGCGGAAUGUGUAGUGUAGCGGUGAAAUGCAUAGAUAUUACACAGAACACCGGUUGCGAAGGCAGCUUACUAAUCCAUCAUUGACGCUGAGGCACGAAAGCGUGGGGAUCAAACAGGAUUAGA
rnacentral:rRNA from 1 species